rnacentral:rRNA from 1 species
GACGAACGCUGGCGGCGUGCUUAACACAUGCAAGUCGAACGGAAAGGCCCUGCUUUUGUGGGGUGCUCGAGUGGCGAACGGGUGAGUAACACGUGAGUAACCUGCCCUUGACUUUGGGAUAACUUCAGGAAACUGGGGCUAAUACCGGAUAGGAGCUCCUGCUGCAUGGUGGGGGUUGGAAAGUUUCGGCGGUUGGGGAUGGACUCGCGGCUUAUCAGCUUGGUGGUGGGGUAGUGGCUUACCAAGGCUUUGACGGGUAGCCGGCCUGAGAGGGUGACCGGCCACAUUGGGACUGAGAUACGGCCCAGACUCCUACGGGAGGCAGGAGUGGGGAAUAUUGCACAAUGGGCGGAAGCCUGAUGCAGCAACGCCGCGUGCGGGAUGACGGCCUUCGGGUUGUAAACCGCUUUCGCCUGUGACGAAGCGUGAGUGACGGUAAUGGGUAAAGAAGCACCGGCUAACUACGU